UCCGACGCCACUCUACUCUGCUGCCCCCGGCCCUGCCACAGGGUCCAUUUCACCUGGUGCGAAGCAGCCGGAGACACAAGCCCGUACAGCAGUGCGCCGGCCCAGCCAUCGGAGAACGGCCUCUGGCCCAAAUGCUGCCCCCUCAGGGUGCCGCUCAGGGCUCCCCGCACCAGCAGGCAGUGUGACGGCCGGGGGUGGGAUACGCUCGAGCCACGCUGACGCUUCGCCCAUCAUGUGGAUGGCACAGGCGUGUUCGCUGUGGCAGGUCGCUCCGACGCCACGCCGUCCAGGACCUGACCAGCCGACAUCAGCAGCAAUGAAUCGCACUGGCCUCCCCUCACCCCCCCCUUUGGGUUGUAGGUGCUUGACCCUGUCACCGCCAGAGGUGCUUCGGCAUUGGCAGGGAUAAGGGGGAGGGGUCGCUUGGCGUCCCCACACACAGAGUGAGGGCGCUGGACCCUGUGAUGUCACGCUGGGGUAGUCCUCGUCGUCGGGAGUUGUGAUGCUUUAUGCUAAAAAGAAAAGGACAAAGCGAAAACAAAACAACGGGAGUAGCAGAAACUCAACAUGCCGCCACUCCCCCCUCCUCCUGCCCAAUCUCCAACGGACGUGAUGUGGCCAUCCAGCAAGAGCGAGGGAAGGGUC
rnacentral:misc_RNA from 1 species